rnacentral:rRNA from 1 species
AUUGAACGCUGGCGGGAGGCCUAACACAUGCAAGUCGAGCGGAGUGGCGAACGGGUGAGUAAUGUCUAGGAAUCUGCCUGGUAGUGGGGGAUAACGACGGGAAAGGGGCGCUAAUACCGCAUACUAUCAGAUUGGCCGAGGUCGGAUUAGCUAGUUGGUGGGGUAAAGGCCUACCAAGGCGACGAUCCGUACCUGGUCUGAGAGGAUGAUCAGUCACACUGGAACUGAGACCCGGUCCAGACUCCUGCGGGAGGGAGCAGUGGGGAAUUUUGGACAAUGGGCGAAAGCCUUAUCCAGCCAUGCCGCGUGUGUGAAGAAGGUCUUCGGAUUGUAAAGCACUUUUGGUUGGUAGGCGUUACCCUCAGAAUAAGCACCGGCUAACUACGUGCCAGCAGCCGCGGUAAUAC